rnacentral:snRNA from 1 species
CUGGUUUGCUCGGCCUUUUGGCUAAGAUCAAGUGUAGUAUCUGUUCUUAUCAGUUUAUUAGUAUGGGUGUGUCAGUACCCCCCCAACCACUA